CAAUAGCGUAUAUUAAAGUUGUUGCGGUUAAAAAGCUCGUAGUUGGAUUUCUGGUGGGAGCGAUCGGUCUGGCGCUUAGCGCGAGUACUUGCAUCGUCUCCGGCCAUCCUUGGGGAGAGUCUGUCUGGCAUUAGGUUGUCGGGCAGAGGAUCCUCAUCGUUUACUGUGAAAAAAUUAGAGUGUUCAAAGCAGGCUUAUGCCGUUGAAUAUAUUAGCAUGGAAUAAUAAGAUAGGACUUUGGUACUAUUUUGUUGGUUUGCGCACCAAAGUAAUGAUUAAUAGGGACAGUUGGGGGUAUUCGUAUUCCGUUGUCAGAGGUGAAAUUCUUGGAUUUACGGAAGACGAACUACUGCGAAAGCAUUUACCAAGGAUGUUUUCAUUAA
rnacentral:rRNA from 1 species